AAUAUCUCAAGAGUUUACUAGUUAAAUAAAUCCACAAAAGCAAGAUAAUAAAGUUGAUUUCUUCCAAUGAGAAAAAAAAGUUGCAAUAUUAUGACAAAGCUUUAUAUAUAUUUUUUUCCCUCCAGUGUGAACAUCUGGGUGUGAGUCAUGGCUUCCGCGAGCUCCUUUGGGGUGUUUUCAUGUUUGUGUUUGUUGCGAGGCUGAAAGUGCAUUGGUGACUGUGACUCUUUGCCUUUUCGCAACCUCAAUUUCUCUGCUCUUUUUCUCAUUCAACCCAACAAUUGAGGAAUUUGACAAAGUCGUGCAAGCGUCAACUCUGAACCAAAAAGAAGUUGAGGGUACCACCAAACAAGUAAAUUGAGGUCACAGCAUGACUACAAAUCCUAAAUCAAGCUGCCUCCAGUCUCGAUUGCCCUGAGUGUACCCAAUGGAGUGGACGGCUGUUGGACAAGCUUAGCGUGCUCCACCAGAUGAGUGUUGGCAUGCGAACCGUUUGACGUUGGACAAAGGGGAUGAAUCACUGAACACGUAGAGACCUUUUCUCCCAAAAUAUCCUGAAGGGCCGGUGAACAAAGGAGCCCACCUGCUCGGAGGGAGCAUCGCGCGCGCGCAUCCGGUCAGGUAAGCGACUUAAACCAGUUGGUGAAAUCAUGUCGAAGCACCGAUGAUUGUAUUCGGUGAAUAAAUGUAAAUUCCCCAAACAGGCUUGUGGCCAUUUUGUGGACAUAUCAAUGACAAAAAUGUGCUCAUUUUACAACUAUGGAGGGAUCUACUUUAAUAUUAUUAUAAUAUGCUUUACAUCUAAUAUUGUUCAAUUCAUAUUUUGCCAUCUAAAAAAAAAAAAAGAAUUAUAAUAUUGGUAAAAAAAAAUUGACUGACCCUGCCUUCAUGUAGUCAGUACCAUUUAAAAAUUUUGAAUCCUCAAAGCUUUUCCUCCAUAAUUCAAGUAAAGCAGUUUGACUCUCAGUCGAAAUUAAUCUUCCUGGCCGGCGAUUGUUAUUCAUCAUAAAGCGAGUCGAUAGGAAAAGUGUGACAAAUGUCAAGUUGCAAUUGGGGAAAAUGAAAGUGCCCCCCCCCCCGAACCCCCACCCCAUUCGAAGGCCUCGGCCAGAAGCCUGCCGGGAUGCAGGCGUCUCCAUGAUCCGCUCUCGAGAUAGCAUCUUUCUAUUUGGCCCGCGGCAUUACCUCUGUAGGGUAAGGUAUUUAUUAUCGGGAGCGCCGAUAACGGCCUUCUCGUCUCGCUCUGCCGCUAAACGGUCCAGUCGGCGCUGCGGGAUUGUUUACGCGCGCAUGUGUGUGAUAAGCCUCGGGACAAACACUCGACCAAUCGACACUUUAACAGCGAAAUUAAUGAUAGCGUGGGCCUGCAUCGGCUCACCGGUCAGGUCGUGAAAAGCUCCGCAAAUAACCCAGCAGCGCCAUUUGUUUUGGUCUCCGCGCAAAUAUACCAUCGGAAUGUGUCCUCUGCUUGUUGCUAGGCAGAAUGUGAGGCGCACAAUCCUUGAUGCCCCACGCGUAGCAUUUGGACAACAAAAAUUGUUUGGGCGGAUCAAAAAAAAAUAAUAAUAAUCUUGAAUCUCAAAAUAUUUUUAGUUUGACAUAAAAAUAUAUAUAUUUUAAGUUAUCUAUUUUUUCAAACUUUGCUAUUUGCAACUUGCUCGGCAACACAUUUGUUGUUCAGAGGAGGCGAUGCAAACCGGACAGAGAUCACCGCUCUGAACGGUACGGUAACCGACGUAAAACGAGGCUAAAUUCCACCCGGAGACAAAUUCCACAUGAAAGCCCAACCUUUCAAAAAUAAAACAACAUGGGCCGUGUUCUCGCUUGAAACACUUUGGGUGCUUUUUUUUUUUUUGUUUUUUUUUUUUUGCUCCAGUCUCAAGCUACAAAUCAGUACUGACACAGGCAAUCUGAGCGUCCACAGCGGAGGGAAAAAAAACCUGUUCAAACGCGGGUAGGAGACUCGUCGGGCGCGAAGCGCACAAUGCGGCUAAUGGCCUCCCUUCUGCGACUCCCGGCCGGCGCGCUUAAAAACUCUUUGGCGCUUUCAUGUUGCCGCAAAUGAUGCGCGCGCGCGGGCGCCAUGCUCUUUGGGAGCGCUGUCCCAGAUUUAAAGGCUCGUCACGUGCCGCCGGCCCUUUAUUUUGCCGUAAACGCUUGUUUUUUUUUUUUUGUUUUUAAUCUUCUCGCAUUCCUUGUGGGGACUUGUUGUCAUCGGCGGGUUUUGAAACGGGUUGCGGGGCGAGGGGAUGGCCACAAAUGGGAGUUGAAAUGGAAGGCGUCUUCGUUUGUUUGGCGGUUGCGUAAGAAUAUUCUUCUGAAGUCCCCCCCCCCCUCCCCCUUAAAGUUAUUUUGAAGAAAUGUAGAUUGAAUGAGACAAGACAGAUGAGAUUCAUCUUGGAGGCUAAAAUUCACAAAAGACGGUUGUCCUGGACUUACCUACACACAGGACUCUCCCACUUUUCAAGUAAGCAGAAGUAUUGGAACAGACAAAGUAUUAUUUUCAAGUGAAAAAUAAUAAUAAUUGAAUAUUUGGUGGCCUCUGCCUUACUUGCAAAAAAAUAAGAGCAUCAAGCCGCCAGACUCUUUGAAAUGCUUUUGCAGGCCUUCCCUUUUAGUUCUUGUUUGUUUCUAGCCUUUGCUGCCGUAAUUUCACCAGCAGAGGCCGAGGCGCAUGACUUCUGGAAUUUACAGCGGCCCUUCUUCUUCCCACCUGUUUUUGCACCGAUCGUCCCACACCUGUUCCCCUUCUACCCCCCCCCCCCCCCCCCCCGUUUUACAGAUGUCUUCCCCGAUUGCUUGGAACGCGCAAAGAGCUGAAUAACUGAUUUUAAAAAAAAAAUGAGAUGGAGGCGUGCAGACGUGUGCGAUGAUUGGAAGCUCUUGAAGUCAGCCAGCCAGGUGUCGAGUGUUUGGGAGAGCUCACGUUUGAAAGAACUUGCGAGCGGCGCAGAAAAGACAACGAGAGAGCGCCGAGCGUUUGAGAACAAUGCGCCGUGCGUAAACAAGUCCUCACAUCUCCAAACGCGAGCGGCGAAUGUUUGAAAGUUUCCUUUUGCGCGCCGCGCUCAUUAGCAUGGCGAGCACGCGUUCCUCGCCGCUCGGCUCCGUCCCGGCGUCUCUUUGCCACUUCUUCCCGAACUCCUGGUCUGCGGCACACCCGCGACCGCCGUGAGGGGGAAAAGUGGGCUCCGAUCAUGGAUGGAUGAAACUAAUGCUCAGAUUCAUAAAACCUGAACUUUUGACAACAUAAGAAGCAAAAUUAGCCCGCUCAAAAAAAAAAACAACAACAAAAAACGUUUCAAACUUCUGCAUUGAAAGCGUGCGCUCUCUUGUGGCCUUCAAUUUGUCCCACGAGCGUUUUUCUCUGCUUAGCUGUUUUUCCCUCGCGUGUCCGGCGACAACAUUUCUUUUGUGGCAAGUGCGCGCUUUGCUUCCGCGUUGCGAUAGUUUGCAGCGGUGGCUUGGACUUUGCUCUCACCACUUAGCUAGGUGUUGGCAUUUCCGGAGAGACCGCUUUAGCGUUGUGGUAGGAGUGCUCCAUGCUUCCUUCCACCUGGCAGCAGCUGCGUGCACUUUUCGCUUUAUUUUUUUUUUUUUUUUUAGGGGCGAGUGUCUUUUGAGCGUGACUUUGUGUCUUGGCAGGCAGGAGUGCACUCGCCUCUCCUUCCAGCUUCCCCCUUCCUACUGCCACCCCCAAUGAAGCAUCCACGCGGAGACGGCGGCUUCCUUUGCGCCGCGCAGCCUCCAUUUUGUGUGAUCUCGCCGUGUUGUCUAACCCUUUUGCGCUCCUCUUGUCUUUUGUUUUUUUUUAUUAUUGGAUUUUUUUUUUUUUUUUGAAAUCCCUCCAUUGCUCUUUCUGUGAGUUACGUUCCGUAUUGACUGCUCGCCGCUUUUUAAUGUUUGCAGGGAAAAGGAGGAAAAAAAAAAAGGCCCGGGGCUUGCGGCUGGGUGGUGAUGGCGGAGGGAGGGGUUGACUCCUGCCGCCCCCGUAGUGAACUCGAGUUCCCAGCGCUCUCGCAAGUACACUUGCUCUUUUCUUCUUCUCUUGCCUCCUCUUUUCCCGCUUUCCCGCACCCCAUGCAAAGAUCACCUUAUGGAAGAUUAAGAUGUUGGAGCGGCAUAUUUGCACAAAUAACCUUCCCCGCCUUGUCUCCUCAUCAAAGCGGGCGAGCGGAGCCGUCCCGCGGGGGGGGGCCGCCGGAGAGCGCCGCGGUCACAGAGGCCUCGGUCCAAGGCUGCCAGGGAACAAACGGGACGGCUCCUCCGCCGGUCGGCGCACUUUCAGAUCCCCUCUUGACUCGCAUUCGUCUUUUUUUUUUUUUUUUUUAACGCGCUUUGGCGAUCGAUGCGCUACGCCGCCGCCUGUGAUGAGCCGGAGUUGCCUGUAAUGGGACUUCAGCCGCUGAUAUCUCACUCCUUGUCUUAUUUGAUUGCCAGGGUGCAGGAGUCAGUGGGGCGGGGGCAGGUCCGCCAGGUGGCCCCUGUUUGACCGUCGGGGGCAGGGGGGGGCGGCCAAGGAGUUGCCAAGCGAAGCUCGGCCCGACCUGUGUUGCAGCGGCUAAUGCGGGAUGACAGUUAGCCACUCGGAAAGCGGAGAAAGGAGAAGAGGCCUCUUCAGAGCAACUCGCCAAAUGGGAGAUGUGCGGCUGAAGCCGAGUUAUUAGCAUCUCCGUUUUUGUGGUGAGUCAUCAAACUUGGUGUGCUAUGCUCCGCCCACACUCACGCACAAUAACGGAAACUCAAAUUCAGCCGAAUGUCGUGCUGAUGAUCCGUCUCGUAUGGCAGCAAUGGGAUGGAAUCCUUCGGACGAGUUAACGUUUAAAUGACCCUGCGAGUGAGUCACAAAAAUGGCACCAUCAAGUCUGUUUCAAACCAAACUGCUCAACUUUGUGUUUUUUCAGGCAUGGCGUCUUCACUUUUUUUGGAGCAACCGAUCGCGAGGGAUGGGCCUACCAAAUCUCUCGUUGCUGAGUGAAACUGGCUUUAAGAGAUGAGCUUUCCCCAAAUUGCAGUGGUUGCUUUCCGUGGCGUUCACCAUUCCUUCCACCAACGGCGUCAUCUCGUCCCACCUGGCGCGGCGCUACCCGACUCUCACUAGGUCGUAUUCGACGAGAGAAGGCCGACUUGACCGGCGAUCCCGACGCGCGCAGCUGGAUGGGCGCCAAAGGACCGCAUCCGCUCCUGCCAGCCGUUCCCGCCGAUCCGCUGGCAGGUCGCGGCAUGAAAGGCUGUGCCUGCGAGGCCCACAAAGGAGAAGCAGUCAGCCUUGAAAAAGAAGGAUCAUCCAACCCCAGAAGACUCGCCGCCUUCAUUCUAAUCCGGCGAAUCACACGAAUGGCUCCUGGCACUUUGAGGCAGCGGCGUGGAAAUGUUUGACAAGAAAAAAGAAAAUAAAUGAAUGAAUAAAUCUAAAUCGUGUCACGCCCCUGAAAGGCCCACUGGCUUUCCAAGUGGAAGAUCAUCUGAGGGCACGGCCUUCGCAAGUUGCAAAACUGGCGUCAUACUCGCCCAGCUGUUUCAAAUACACGAUAAGUCCAAUGGUCGGGAAUCUCGACUUGACCCGAAUAAUUCUAUAUGUCACAAAGAACCCAACAGGGACAACCGAACCCUACUUGCACACCCUCAUCUCGAAGACGCUACAUCUGUGGUCCAGCGGUACCUGGCAGGGGGGGGGGGGGUAUUGUACGCAGUCAAGACGCUCUGUUAUAUUGGAAGAACCAACGCACUACUUUUCCAAAGCUCUCCCGCGUCGCAAAGGAGUUCCUCUGUACGGCGGCAUCAUCGGUGUCAGGUGAGCGUGUGUUCUCCACAGCAGGGGAAAUGGCAUGCAAGGAACGCGACAGACUCAAAUUCUGAAACACCGGAGCAACUUAUUGUUCUGAAAAAAAAGAAGACAAAGCCCACCGGCAUCCUCAUUCACAUAAUUUUCACAUGGUUCAAACUGAAUGAAUCACACAAUAUGAAUGCAUUGAUGUCAAUGAUAUUGGAUACACGU